AACGAACGCUGGCGGCAGGCCUAACACAUGCAAGUCGAACGAUACAGUGGCAGACGGGUGAGUAACGCGUGGGAACGUACCUUUCACUACGGAAUAGCUCCGGGAAACUGGUGGUAAUACCGUAUACGCCCUCAGGGGGAAAGAUUUAUCGGUGAAAGAUCGGCCCGCGUUGGAUUAGCUAGUUGGUGAGGUAAUGGCUCACAAAGGCGACGAUCCAUAGCUGGUCUGAGAGGAUGAUCAGCCACAUUGGGACUGAGACACGGCCCAAACUCCUACGGGAGGCAGCAGUGGGGAAUCUUGCACAAUGGGCGAAAGCCUGAUGCAGCCAUGCCGCGUGAAUGAUGAAGGCCUUAGGGUUGUAAAAUUCUUUCGUCAGGGAUGAUAAUGACCGUACCG
rnacentral:rRNA from 1 species